rnacentral:rRNA from 1 species
UGUGUAGGCGGCUUCUUAAGUUUGGUGUGAAAUCUCCCGGCUCAACCGGGAGGGUGCGCCGAAUACUGAGAGGCUAGAGUGCGGGAGAGGAAAGUGGAAUUCCUGGUGUAGCGGUGAAAUGCGUAGAUAUCAGGAGGAACACCGGUGGUGUAGACGGCUUUCUGGACCGUAACUGACGCUGAAACACGAAAGCGUGGGUAGCAAACAGGAUUAGAUACCCUGGUAGUCCACGCCCUAAACGAUGCAUAUUUGGUGUGGGUCAUUCAGUUGAUCCGUGCCGGAGCUAACGCGUUAAAUAUGCCGCCUGGGGAGUACAGUCGCAAGGCUGAA